rnacentral:tRNA from 11 species
GCGAAGGUGGCGGAAUUGGUAGACGCGCUAGCUUCAGGUGUUAGUGUUCUUACGGACGUGGGGGUUCAAGUCCCCCCCCUCCGCACCA